AGAGUGUUAUGAUGUUGGAAUAGUAUUCCGAGUCUAGCUCAGCGCUACCCCUUGAUUUUUUCAAGGGGU
rfam:Enterococcus italicus DSM 15952 genomic scaffold SCAFFOLD1, whole genome shotgun sequence.